rnacentral:lncRNA from 1 species
AGGAGCUGCAGUGACGGCGCCUCUGAAAUAUUAAUGAGGCUGUUCUCUGCCUCGGCUCCUUCCCCUGGGCUCCCUCCCUCCCUCCCUGGCUGAAUGCAGGCCUGUCCUUGGAGCCCUCCUUUCCCCUACCCGGUGGUCGCCAAGGUACCCUCAGGGAAGCAGAGACACCCUGUGCGCCAAGCCUUGACCUGGCGCCCAGCUGGCCCUAUCCAUGGGUGGGCCUGCUCCCUGGACCCCCACGCAGCCCUGCGCCUGAAACCGUGAGCUGCAGAGGUGGCGCCAGAAGAUUGCCAGCACUGCUGCUGGGGACUGAUAGCAUGCCCGCCGCACAGGGCGAGUCUGAACCAGGUAUCUGUGCUUAGCUUCUUCCCCGUCGCCUCUGCCACGCCUCACCCCGGCACUGGGACCUCAGGUAGCCACCUGCCC